rnacentral:rRNA from 1 species
UACGUAGGGUGCGAGCGUUUAAUCGGAAUUACUGGGCGUAAAGCGUGCGCAGGCGGUUAUGUAAGACAGAUGUGAAAUGCCCGGGCUUAACCUGGGAACUGCAUUUGUGACUGCAUGGCUAGAGUUUGGCAGAGGGGUAGAAUUCCACGUGUAGCAGUGAAAUGCGUAGAGAUGUGGAGGAACACCGAUGGCGAAGGCAGCCCCUGGGUCAAGAUUGACGCUCAUGCACGAAAGCGUGGGAGCAAACGAGG